AGGGCCAUCAGAAGCAUCCAGAGAGGCCAAGUAGAUGUCUCGGCAGGGAUGAUGAUGGAGACAGAGGAACGUGAGCUAUGAGAAGCAGCUGGACAGCAGACAGGGUUGUUUGCAUCCACCGAGGAAGCCCCUAGCUCUGAAUGUGGGCUGCACAAGUAGCAGCCUAUUUCUCCAAAAUCUACGCACUACUGUGUGAAUGAAGUGGACAAAGCACUUUCAGUGGAUUUGGAAACUUUCAAAGAGUGGAACAUUGGAGAGAAAGAAAUCUCUGCAGCUGAGCAUUAAGAGUCGUCCAUAAAGGAAUACAAAACCAGACUUUGAGGUAAUGGUCCAGACCUGUGCUAUGUUUGAAUAGAAACCUAUCCAGUGAAGAGUCUGCGCUCACACAUCCCUCUGUUUAGUUUAUGCUGUGCUUUUUUUUUUUUAACAUUUUCUUGUACUUUUUAAAUUUCCUCAUGCAGAUUAAAUCAUUCUUUCCCACA